CCACAGGCCACAGAAUUUAGAUCUUCAUUUGCUUUUGUGAAAAAUGGAGAGUCAAGACCAGGGGCAUUUGAAAACACAGCUAGCAUCUUGUUUGCUCAGUAAUAGGAGAGCUGUACCAUUGCAUAUGUAACUUUGAGGGAAAGUAUAGGAAGAAAGAGUUAACCAUGCAAUACUUUGCAACUACAGCAUUGUGACAAGACCACCACCAUGCUCAGAAGGGCAUCAGCAAUUGCACAGGAGGAAACCUAGCGAUGCGCCAGCUCAUCAGAGUUACUGAAUUCUCCUGCCCCACCUUGGUGGAGGGAUGUUUUUUCCUUCCUGCACCCGAACUCCAGGAAAGGUCAUGUCAGGAAUGGGAAAAGAGAAAGAAAUAAGGAGACAUGUUUGGAAGAAGACAGACUGAAUGUGGCAGGGCCCUCAGUUGGAACAACUCCCGUUCUUUUCGUCCACCCACACCAGUUUCUGGCAAAUGGGAAGGCCACCUACAGCUCUGUACAUUGGAAAUGUUCAUUACCAAGAAAAAUGGGUCAAUCAAAUAAAGACAAUGUGGGAGGGAAAGGAAAUGAUACCUGGACAGUGCCUGUUAUUUUAUUAUAUGCAUUAUGCACUUUAACUUCAUUAUCCCACUUAAUAAUCCUUAUAACCACCCUCUGGUGCAUUGUUUCAUUUUUAUCCUCAUUUUACAAAGAAUAAAAAAAUGAAACACAAAGAAAUUAAGUGCUUUUCUUCAUCUGGCUCAGUUAGUAAGCUGCAGAAAUGUCCUUUAGUCUCGGUCUUGCUAGAUGAGUUUAGGACUAAUUCUUCUUCCUUUCCAAGUCCAUAUUCUCAUUCUUUUCUCAACACUGACCUGCAACACUUCCAUCCCCUUCUUGCAAGAAACUGCAACACUACACCAUGACCUGGGUAGUUUGAACACCAAAAUUUUGUUUUCUCACAGUUCUGCAGGCCAAAAGUCCAAGAUCAGAACUUCAGAAUAGUCAGACUCCAAGGGAUGCUCUCUUCUUGGCUUAGAAACAGUUCCGAUGGCUCUUCCUCUUCUUACAGGGCACCGGGUCUGCUGACUCAGGGCUUCUCUUUUCAGUCUCCAUUUCACCUUAAUCAUCUUUUAGAGGCCUUUUCUCCAAUAUCAUCACUCACAUGAAAGGUUGGAACUUCAACAGGAAUUUUGAUGGACACGAUGCGGUUCAUCGCAGCCUCUAUAGAAAAAGUUGGCCACUCCUGACCUUCCAGUCCACUGCCCACCUGUACAGUGCAGAUGUUUCACUGGCAUGUUGUUCAACGCCC
rnacentral:lncRNA from 1 species